GACGAACGCUGGCGGCGUGCUUAAUACAUGCAAGUCGAACGGAAAGGCCCGGCUUUUGUUGGUUGCUCGAUUGGCGAACGCGUGAGUAACACGUGAGUAACCUGUCCUUGUCUUUGGGAUAACUUCAGGAAACUGGGGCUAAUACCGGAUAGGAGCUCCUGCUGCAUGGGGGGGGUUGGAAAGUCCCGGCGGUUGGGGAUGGACUCGCGGCUUAUCAGCUGGUUGGGGGGGUAGUGGCUUACCAAGGCUGUGACGGGUAGCCGGCCUGGGAGGGUGACCGGGCACAUUGGGACUGAGGUACGGACCAGACUCGUACCGGAGGCAGAAGUGGGGAAUAUUGCACAAUGGGCGGAAGCCUGAUGCAGAGACGCCGCGUGCGGGAUGACCGCCUACGGGUGGUAAACCGCUUUGGAAGGUGACGAAGCGUGAGUGACGGUACUGGGUAAGAAAGCACCGGCUAACUACGUG
rnacentral:rRNA from 1 species